rnacentral:misc_RNA from 1 species
GAUGAAGAACGCAGCGAAAUGCGAUACUUGGUGUGAAUUGCAGAAUCCCGUGAACCAUCGAGUCUUUGAACGCAAGUUGCGCCCGAAGCCAUCAGGUUGAGGGCACGUCUGCCUGGGCGUCACAUAUCGUUGCCCAAUGCCUAUUGCAGUGCAAUAGGAAUUUCUAGGGCGAAUGAUGGCUUCCCGUGAGCGUUGUUGCCUCGCGGUUGGUUGAAAAUCGAGUCCUUGGUAGGGUGUGCCAUGGUAGAUGGUGGUCGAGUUAGAACGAUACCGAUCAUGUGCAUGCUCCCCAAAAUAUGGCCUCUAUGACCCACACGCGUCUUUUGACUCUCAUGACGAGACCUCAGGUCAGGCGGGGCUACCCGCUGAAUUUAAGCAUAUCAAUAAGCGGAGGA